ensembl:lncRNA
GAUGAGGGUUAAAUCAUUUCAAUACACUCUCAGACAAAAGCUGUCACUGAGGCAGUACCUUUUCAAAAGGUACACUUUAGGUACAAAGGUGUGCCUUUUGAAAAGGUACCGCCCCAGUGACAGCUUUUGUACCUUUUUUUUCUGAGAGUGUAGGAAUAUGUGCUAUAACUUCACUAAACACGUGGUCAGAUUAACCAUUGUUCUGCAAAAUUUCUUAUAUGUAUGAUCAGGAAUUUGGGGUAAGGGUGAAACAUUUCCCUAAGCAGACUGACAGACUAACAUUUUGUAUGGAAUGUGUAAACAGACAAAAUGUCAGUCUAUCAAUUUUGAGGCUCAGAGCUAAAUGUUGCAUAAUCCUAAUGUACACGAUAAUAGCUGGAAUUGUUUUGUUCUUCCUAGGUUUUUAUUGUUUGGAGGGCAUCUCUCGGAGGCCAAGCUCUCAGUUUCUGUGCCCACAAGGGUAUUACUGUGAGGAAGGCACAGGCGUGCCACACGGGUCACCUUGCCCUGCUGGAACCGCAGGAGGACAACUGGGUCAGACAAGUAGGGCAGCUUGCAAGAAGUGUGCAGAGGGUCGCUUCUGUCCCGCAGUAGGUUCUGCUGGUCCUGGGUUGCUUUGUGCCCAUGGGAGGAACUGUCCAGCAGGCACACUCAGUGAAAUCUUAUGCCCACAAGGGACCUUCACCCCACAUCAGGGGGCACUGAGUAAGAUUUCAUUCCUAAAACCAUCAUGGUCAUUAAAGGACAUUCAUAUAAAUCUACCAUUGUGUUGAUAUUUGUGUCUAUUUUCAUCGUAGGUGUAAAGGACUGUUUAAAGUGUCCACCAGGCUUCUAUUGUGCAGAAGGAACCAGUGACCCAAUGCCUUGUCAACCAGGCACCUUUAACCCUGGAGCUGGCAGACUGCAGGCCUUGUGACCCGGGCAAAGCAUGCACACAAGUUGUACUGAAGUUUCCUGAUGUGGAUGUUAUGCCUUUUGCACAUGAGAAGUUUUUUUUUUAAACCAGCCUAAGCUGGACCCAUCAGACGGGUCCAUUUAGUUGGUUUUAGAAGUUUGGGCAUUUGACAAUCUAGCUGAUGUCACAAUACACCUUUAGUAACCCUACAGACCUCACUGACCUUUCCCAGUGCCAGCAGUGUCCCACACAUUAUGCCUGUCUUUGAGGUGUCAUACUACCUUCAGAGUUGAAUGCCAUGUAAUUACUUGUAUUCAAUUACUAUUUAACAAUUUCUGCUUUUACAGGCACUGGUGGCAUCCAGAGGCCUCCACUUCUUUGCUUUCCUGGGCAUUACUGUCCUGUGGGCACUAUGUUUCCCACUCAGCACAAGUGUCCAGCUGGUACCUGGAGCGAUCGCAGUGGACAGGAGUCAGAGCGUGAGUGCCGGCCGUGCCCGAGAGACUGGUACUGUUUAGCAGGAGUGGGCACUCCCUCUGGGAGAUACAACUCUGGACACUACUGUCCUGAAGGUACUAAAGCUGUGUGAAACAUUUGAAUGCUUUAUCCGCCUUGAAGAAAAACAGGCAUUUGAAAUCUGGCCUAACAUCAGUUAAGUGCCAUAUUGAUAUACUUUAUGAUGGACAUAUUGCAAAGUCAUGCAAAUAAUCAUUAUUGAUGUACAGAGUCA